rnacentral:rRNA from 1 species
CGGGUGAGUAACGCGUGGGUAACCUGCCUCAUACAGGGGGAUAACAGUUAGAAAUGACUGCUAAUACCGCAUAAGCGCACAGUGCCGCAUGGCACAGUGUGAAAAACUCCGGUGGUAUGAGAUGGACCCGCGUCUGAUUAGCUAGUUGGUGGGGUAACGGCCUACCAAGGCGACGAUCAGUAGCCGGCCUGAGAGGGUGAACGGCCACAUUGGGACUGAGACACGGCCCAA